rnacentral:misc_RNA from 1 species
AUCAGCUAGCAAAAGCAAUCAAUGGCUGCGUGCUCCUCUUUUUCAAGAGUAGUGCUUUCACAGGGGAGGUCUAACCCUAACCCCUGGAAGCAAAUUGAAUCGGCCCCAGCAGUAGCCCACAUUGCUUGUUAAUGUCAAAUGCACUGGGACACAAAUCAUGAAUUCGAUCUCACCUGUUCUUCACACAACAAUAAUAUCUCUCCUGGUCCUGGAUUUUAGUUACAACUAAAGGCCAAUCUCACUAUACAUGUUUUUAUUAACCCAGUACUAGCUAACAAAUUAAUGCCUCUAUGGCACCCACUUUCUAGCUAAAUUCAAUGACUAACGACAUGACCACCUAACCCGUGAU